AGGGGGCAAGCGUUAUCCGGAUUUACUGGGUGUAAAGGGAGCGUAGACGGCACUGCAAGUCUGGAGUGAAAGCCCGAGGCCCAACCACGGGACUGCUCUGGAAACUGCGGGGCUGGAGUGCAGGAGGGGUAAGCGGAAUUCCUAGUGUAGCGGUGAAAUGCGUAGAUAUUAGGAGGAACACCGGUGGCGAAGGCGGCUUACUGGACUGUAACUGACGUUGAGGCUCGAAGGCGUGGGGAGCAAACAGGAUUAGAUACCCUGGUAGUCCACGCGGUAAACGAUGAUUAUUAGGUGUCGCGGGGUAAGGCCCUGCGGUGCCGUCGCAAACGCAAUAAAUAAUCCACCUGGGGAGUACGUUCGCAAGAAUG
rnacentral:rRNA from 2 species